rnacentral:rRNA from 1 species
AUUGAACGCUGGCGGCAGGCCUAACACAUGCAAGUCGAGCGGAUGAAGGGAGCUUGCUCCUGGAUUCAGCGGCGGACGGGUGAGUAAUGCCUAGGAAUCUGCCUGGUAGUGGGGGAUAACGUCCGGAAACGGGCGCUAAUACCGCAUCCGUCCUGAGGGAGAAAGUGGGGGAUCUUCGGACCUCACGCUAUCAGAUGAGCCUAGGUCGGAUUAGCUAGUUGGUGGGGUAAAGGCCUACCAAGGCGACGAUCCGUAACUGGUCUGAGAGGAUGAUCAGUCACACUGGAACUGAGACACGGUCCAGACUCCUACGGGAGGCAGCAGUGGGGAAUAUUGGGCAAUGGGCGAAAGCCUGACCCAGCCAUGCCGCGUGUGUGAAGAAGGUCUUCGGAUUGUAAAGCACUUUAAGUUGGGAGGAAGGGCAGUAAGUUAAUACCUUGCUGUUUUGACGUUACCAACAGAAUAAGCACCGGCUAACUUCGUG